UAGAGGAAGUAAAAGUCGUAACAAGGUUUUCCGUAGGUGAACCUGCGGAAGGAUCAUUACAGUAGUCGCCCGGGUUGCCGCAAGGCCUCCCGGGUAACCUACCACCCUUUGUUUAUUACACUUUGUUGCUUUGGCAGGCCUGCCCUCGGGCUGCUGGCUCCGGCCGGCGAGCGUCUGCCAGAGGACCUAAACUCUGUUUGUCUAUACUGUCUGAGUACUAUAUAAUAGUUAAAACUUUCAACAACGGAUCUCUUGGUUCUGGCAUCGAUGAAGAACGCAGCGAAAUGCGAUAAGUAAUGUGAAUUGCAGAAUUCAGUGAAUCAUCGAAUCUUUGAACGCACAUUGCGCCCCCUGGUAUUCCGGGGGGCAUGCCUGUCCGAGCGUCAUUACAACCCUCAAGCUCAGCUUGGUGUUGGGCCCCGCCGCCCCGGCGGGCCCUAAAGUCAGUGGCGGUGCCGUCCGGCUCCGAGCGUAGUAAUUCUUCUCGCUCUGGAGGCCCGGUCGUGUGCUCGCCAGCAACCCCCAAUUUUUUUCAGGUUGACCUCGGAUCAGGUAGGGAUACCCGCUGAACUUAAGCA
rnacentral:rRNA from 1 species